CUGCCCAGUGAUCAGUGACAUGAUUUAACGGCCGCGGUACUCUAACCGUGCAAAGGUAGCAUAAUCAUUUGCUCUAUAAUUGAGGGCUUGUAUGAAUGGUUUGACAAGAACAAUACUGUCUCUUAAAAAUUUACUAAAAUUUGGUUUUUAGGUGAAGAAACCUAAAUAAAAUUGAAAGACAAGAAGACCCUAUCGAGCUUAAAAAAUACGUUAACUAUAUAGAAAAACUAAAACUAACGAAAAAAUUUGGUUGGGGCGACUGAGGAACAAAAAAAGCUUCCUUUAAUAUAAAAAACUUAUAUGUAUUGAUCCAAAAUAUUUGAUUAAAAAAAUUAGUUACCGUAGGGAUAACAGCAUAAUCUUUUUAGAGAGAACAUAUCGAAAAAAAGGUUUGUGACCUCGAUGUUGGACUAGGAUAUCCUAAUAGAUUGCAGAAGUCUUUAAAGG
rnacentral:rRNA from 1 species